rnacentral:rRNA from 1 species
GUGCUGCAUGGCUUGUCGCUCAGCUCGUGUCGAUGAGAUGUUGGGUUAACGUCCCGCAACGAGCGCAACCCUCGCCUUUAGUUGCCAGCAUGUUUGGGUGGGCACUCUAAAGGAACUGCCGGUGACAAGCCGGAGGAAGGUGGGGAUGACGUCAAGCCCUCAUGGCCCUUAUGUCCUGGGCUACACACGUGCUACAAUGGCGGUGACAGUGGGAGGCUAGGUGGCGACACCGUGCUGAUCUCUAAAAGCCGUCUCAGUUCAGAUUGCACUCUGCAACUCGAGUGCAUGAAGGUGGAAUCGCUAGUAAUCGCGGAUCARCAUGCCGCGGUGAAUACGUUCCCGGGCCUUGUACACACCGCCCGUCACACCAUGGGAUUUGGUUCGACCGUAAGCCGG